ensembl:lncRNA
CCUAAGUCAGAUAGAAAUUUAGGACAGGGACCUUGCCCCGUGUGAGCAAGGAGAAAAUCAAGAGAAACGUAGUGCCUACAGAUGAUGUUUAGCCAGAUGCCUGGUAUAUGUUCUAAAAGGGUUUAUAGUUCCUUAAGGCAAUCAAUCAGUGUCUUCCUCUGAAGGGGUCAAAAUCCAUAGUCAAAAUUCUGAGAACUGACAGACUCAUCUCAUGGGGAAAAAAGCAGCUAAGGAGUUUUCCCUCAGCAGAUACUAGAUCUCAAUGUGCCUGGCUUCCUAAAACAGCUAAAGUUGAGAUCUUUGGGUUCUAAGCUAAAAGGGAUUAAAGCUCACCCUGCCUGUUACAGAGAACAGGUGACAUCUCAGCUGAGGGAUGGAGCUGAAGUCAGAAGCUGGAAGCAGAGGGAGCCUCCAUGACCAUGUGCCCGGCAAAAGAGUACCAUCCAGUGGUCACCUGAGGCCAGCAAGGAGCAUCUGCCUGAAGAAACUACGGGCCCUGCAGAGACUACGCGCUAUGGGACCAGUGAGGAGCGAGUCCAUCGGCAGCAUCGCCGACCAACCCUGCAGUUUCAGAGGGAGGAUUCCAAAGGGCUGAAGACAAUUGGGAAAGAGCCAAGCCCUGAGGCAGUGAUGAGGACUGAUGUCACCCACUGGUCAAACUCGUGAAGUCCAGCUAAGAGAACCGGAGAAGAGAAAGAAGGGAAAUCACGGGAUCUGAGGGUUUAAAGAGACCUUUAAGGCAAUCUAGAUAUUCCAACCCCUACCUGAAAGUCCUUUUCAUCAUGUUCUUGGCAAGGAAUUCUCCAGUCUCUCCUUAGAGACCUCCCUUGACAGGGAGCUCACUACCACCUGAGGCAGCCUUGGGAGCUCUAAUUGUCCGCAAGCUCUACCUUCUAUUGAGACAGAUUGUCCUCCCUAUAGCUUUCACCCACAUCUCCGAGUUCUGCCCUCAGGGGCCAAAGAGAAAAAGCAGAGUCCUUCUUCCGGGAGAGAGCCCUGCAAAGAUUUGAAGACAGUAAUUGUAAUGGCCCUAAACUGGCUCCUCUCCAAGUGAAACCCCCAAACUUCUUCACUCACUAGUCCUGGCAUUUUGGUAGAACUGUCAGCAUUCCAAAACACUUCUCAGACAUUGGCUCAUGUUCUCCUCCGAAUUGCCCUGUAGAGGAUCAUCCCCAUUUUGCCAAUGAGGAAACUGAGGCUGAGACAGAUUAAAUGGCCUGUCUUGAACCACACGGCUAGAGGCGAGAUCUGAACUCGGUUCUUUCUGACUCCAAGUCUAGCACUCUUCUUUGCAGGGUCCUCGUGGGGCCUGAUCUCCAGCUCCUUUGGCUACCAUGUUCCAGUGUGGCCUGACAGGGCAGAAUGAGAGGGAGCCAGCCAUGGGCAACUGGCCCAUCUGCCAGGGCCUUGGGAAGAAAUGAAGAGCACCAUUCCCAAGAGCCCCCUUUCUGGACAGGAGUGGAUGCGUCUGUCUGUGCCACUGCCUUGGGAACAUAGAGGAGGUUCCUGGGGAACAGAGCAAAACAGCUCGUCAGUUCUUGCCUUACCCUGACAAGGAUGUCGCCUUUAAGAAGGCAGUAUAGCAGAGUACGAAG